rnacentral:RNase_P_RNA from 1 species
CCAGACGGCCGGGCGAUCGCGCUUCCGCAAGGGGGCGAGGAAAGUCCGGGCUCCACGACGACAUGGCGGCGGGUAACGCCCGCCGGGGGCGACCCCAGGGAUAGCGCCACAGAAAGCAAACCGCCCGCGAGGCUUCGGCUUUUAAGGGUAAGGGUGAAAGG